rnacentral:rRNA from 1 species
GGAUUAGAUACCCUGGUAGUCCACGCUGUAAACGAUGAUUACUAGGUGUUGGGGGUCGAACCUCAGCGCCCAAGCAAACGCGAUAAGUAAUCCGCCUGGGGAGUACGUACGCAAGUAUGAAACUCAAAGGAAUUGACGGGGACCCGCACAAGCGGUGGAGCAUGUGGUUUAAUUCGACGCAACGCGAGGAACCUUACCAGCGUUUGACAUCUUAGGAAAGAGAUAGAGAUAUUUCAGUGUCCCUUCGGGGAAACCUAAAGACAGGUGGUGCAUGGCUGUCGUCAGCUCGUGCCG